rnacentral:rRNA from 1 species
AUUGAACGCUGGCGGCAGGCCUAACACAUGCAAGUCGAGCGGAGCGGCGGACGGGUGAGUAAUGCCUAGGAAUCUGCCUGGUAGUGGGGGAUAACGUCCGGAAACGGGCGCUAAUACCGCAUACUAUCAGAUGAGCCUAGGUCGGAUUAGCUAGUUGGUGGGGUAAAGGCCUACCAAGGCUACGAUCCGUAACUGGGCUGAGAGGAUGAUCAGUCAUACUGGAACUGAGAAACGGUCCAGAGUCCUACGGGAGGCAGCAGUGGGGAAUAUUGGACAAUGGGCGCAAGCCUGAUGCAGCCAUGCCGCGUGUAUGAAGAAGGCCUUCGGGUUGUAAAGUACUGUCAGUCGGGAGGCGUUACCGACAGAAGAAGCACCGGCUAACUCCGUGCCAGCCGCCGCGGUAAUAC